GACGUAGGGCGCGAGCGUUGUUCGGAAUUACUGGGCGUAAAGGGCGCGUAGGCGGCCUGCUAAGUCGAACGUGAAAUCCCCGGGCUCAACCCGGGAACUGCGUCCGAUACUGGAAGGCUUGAAUCCGGGAGAGGGAUGCGGAAUUCCAGGUGUAGCGGUGAAAUGCGUAGAUAUCUGGAGGAACACCGGUGGCGAAGGCGGCAUCCUGGACCGGUAUUGACGCUGAGGCGCGAAAGCCAGGGGAGCAAAGCGGGG
rnacentral:rRNA from 1 species